rnacentral:rRNA from 1 species
GAUGAACGCUGGCGGCGUGCCUAAUACAUGCAAGUCGAGCGAACGGACGAGAAGCUUGCUUCUCUGAUGUUAGCGGCGGACGGGUGAGUAACACGUGGAUAACCUACCUAUAAGACUGGGAUAACUUCGGGAAACCGGAGCUAAUACCGGAUAAUAUUAUGAACCGCAUGGUUCAAAAGUGAAAGACGGUCUUGCUGUCACUUAUAGAUGGAUCCGCGCUGCAUUAGCUAGUUGGUAAGGUAACGGCUUACCAAGGCAACGAUGCAUAGCCGACCUGAGAGGGUGAUCGGCCACACUGGAACUGAGACACGGUCCAGACUCCUACGGGAGGCAGCAGUAGGGAAUCUUCCGCAAUGGGCGAAAGCCUGACGGAGCAACGCCGCGUGAGUGAUGAAGGUCUUCGGAUCGUAAAACUCUGUUAUUAGGGAAGAACAUAUGUGUAAGUAACUGUGCACAUCUUGACGGUACCUAAUCAGAAGGCCACGGCUAACUACGUG